rnacentral:lncRNA from 1 species
GAUUUUGUAAGUUUGCUACAACCUUAACUUGCACGUACUAAAAGCAUUAGAUUUUAACGUUCUUCAUUUGGUUUAUGAGUACUAGUGUAUUGAUUGUGUUCUUACUUUGGUUCUUGUGAUUACUCGUGAUUUUCUUGUCCUGAUAUGCCUCUGCUGAGUUUAUUGGUUCAACCUUUCACCGAUUCUACAUGCUUAUGUUCAUCAUGACUACUCAUGUUAAGACCUAUUUCUUUCUCCUUGAAUCAGUAUCGAUUUAACUAUUUAAUCUGUUAAAAUUUUGUGUCGAAUCCUGACUAUUCAUUUCUUGCCUUAUUUUAUUUGCUAAACUUGCUGACUCACACGUGAUUUUCUCUCUAACUGAGCCCUAUUAUGGUUCUAACCUAAUUUUUUCCGACUAAGUUCUAUGUUUCUAUGAAAUAUUACUUAGUUUAUUUUUUAUUUAUGGGAAUUGAUACAUAUUCUUUCUAAAAGUUAAUUGUACUUUGAAAUUCUGGCUGAUUGAUUACUCCUUUAAAGAUUAGUAUGCAUAGAGUUUACUUGUUUCCUUGUUUAUAACUUUAGUUGGUCGUCUCUGCCUUAAUUUCUUGCUCGUAUAACUUUGGGAUUCUUACUAAUUCUUUAUUUGGUAUAGUUUGGUCCUUUUUGUCUUAAUUAAACCCUUGUUGUUACCGUUUGGCUAAUUUCCCCUAAUUAAAGGAGUCUAUUCUGAACUCCUUAUACGAUUGGAUUCUGAUUGCUCCUUAAUUGCUGAUUUCUUAUCCUUUUACCUUAUUGACUCUACCCUCGAACUACUAUAUAAGCACUAUUUUAUUCUCACUUCAGAGCAGAAUAUGAGUUCAUCAAAAAACACUUACACUCUAAAGCUCUUUUUUUCUGCAUACUUGUGAUAUUCACUGGUCUAGCCGGCUGAAAGUCAAGGAUAAAUAUUUGAACUUCAUCUGCUUUAUAUUCUGCAUUCUUUUCUUCAACUGGUAUGUCUCUAGUUAAGUUUUUGAAUCAAAACCCUAUGUGUUUCAUUCCUGCAUUAGUUCAUUAUCUUAUGAAUUCAACUUGUAUUUAUGUUUACUUCUUUAGCAUGUCUAAACUUUGUCCUUGUUCAAUGCAUGCUUUAUAUUCUGCACUAUUUCCUACUUAUUCCUUUGCCUAGCAUGUCUAAACUCGUGUUCAAUGUAUGCUAUAUACUCUGCAAUCUUUCCUGCUUACUUAUUUGCUUAGCAUAUCUAAACUGUAUGUUUAAUCCUAUUCAAGACAUGUAAGGCUUUUUGUACUAAAACUAUGAUCUAUGUCUUAAUUAUUUACUAGCUUGCUAAGACUUUAAUACCGUAAGUGUUUUAUGUAGUUUGUUGACUACAUGAUUCCUUUAUAUCCUAUCCAUGAACCCCAAUGUGAUUCUUAUGUGCUCAAUCCAUUUAUCCCCAUGUGGGAUUUGUUUGUUAAGUGUUUCCUGAAUGUGGAUGCUUUAUGACCAAUUUAUUGUCUGCUGUUUUGGUACUCUUCACAAACUAUCUUUUACUACCAUAAUGUUUCCUGUUUCUGAAAACCUUUUGUUUUCAAAAUCUUUUCAAAACUAUGUCAAGUCUUCUCACUUAACUCUUAGAAUACUAGGUUUGGUCCCUCUGAUAUGUGUACUGUCUUGAGAUCCUUGUGAUUCUUUCGGAACUCUGGAAUGUCAGAGUUGGCCUUUCCACACUUCACUUAAAUCAGUUAUCAUUUGAGAAAAGGUCUAGGUGUGAGCACUGCCCUGGAUCCUUGAGAUCCUUAGGGAACUCUGACACACCUAGACAUGGAAUUGGUUAUGACCUUUGGUAUUUGAGGCUACUGGAGGCUUGGAGAUCCCUUGGGCCUGCUUCAGGCUCCCUAUAGAUUAAUCUUUGUUCUAUUUAUGUAAUUUUUAUUCAAUUCAUUGGCCUGUAAUAUUAUUUUAAACAAACAGUGGGGUGAUUAGUGAAAAGGAAUG